rnacentral:tRNA from 1 species
GCUGAAACAGCUCAGUUGGGAGAGCGUUAGACUGAAGAUCUAAAGGUCCCGGGUUCGAACCCGUGUUUCGGCA